GACGAACGCUGGCGGCGUGCUUAACACAUGCAAGUCGAACGGAAAGGCCCUGCUUUUGUGGGGUGCUCGAGUGGCGAACGGGUGAGUAACACGUGAGUAACCUGCCCUUGACUUUGGGAUAACUUCAGGAAACUGGGGCUAAUAACGGAUAGGAGCUCCUGCUGCAUGGUGGGGGUUGGAAAGUUUCGGCGGUUGGGGAUGGACUCGCGGCUUAUCAGCUUGUUGGUGGGGUAGUGGCUUACCAAGGCUUUGACGGGUAGCCGGCCUGAGAGGGUGACCGGCCACAUUGGGACUGAGAUACGGCCCAGCCUCCUACGGGAGGCAGCAGUGGGGAAUAUUGCACAAUGGGCGGAAGCCUGAUGCAGCAACGCCGCGUGCGGGAUGACGGCCUUCGGGUUGUAAACCGCUUUCGCCUGUGACGAAGCGUGAGUGACGGUAAUGGGUAAAGAAGCACCGGCUAACUACGUG
rnacentral:rRNA from 1 species